rnacentral:rRNA from 1 species
UACGUAGGGUGCAAGCGUUGUUCGGAAUCAUUGGGCGUAAAGCGCGUGUAGGUGGUCUGCUAAGUCGAUUGUGAAAUCCCUGGGCUCAACCGAGGAAGUGCAGUCGAAACUAGUAGGCUAGAGGACAGCAGGGGAAGGUGGAAUUCCAAGUGUAGAGGUGAAAUUCGUAGAUAUUUGGAGGAAUACCGGCGGCGAAGGCGGCCUUCUGGACUGUUCCUGACACUGAGACGCGAAAGCGUGGGUAGCAAACAGG